rnacentral:miRNA from 1 species
AAGGUCACAAUCAACAUUCAUUGCUGUCGGUGGGUUUAACUGUGUGGACAAGCUCACUGAACAAUGAAUGCAACUGUGGCCCCACUU